rnacentral:rRNA from 1 species
AUUGAACGCUGGCGGCAGGCUUAACACAUGCAAGUCGAGCGGGGGAAGGUAGCUUGCUACCGGACCUAGCGGCGGACGGGUGAGUAAUGCUUAGGAAUCUGCCUAUUAGUGGGGGACAACAUCUCGAAAGGGAUGCUAAUAUCGCAUACGUCCUCCGGGAGAAAGCAGGGGUCCUGCGGACCUUGCGCUACUAGAUGAGCCUAAGUCGGAUUAGCUAGUUGGUGGGGUAAAGGCCUACCAAGGCGACGAUCUGUAGCGGGUCUGAGAGGAUGAUCCGCCACACGGGGACUGAGACACGGCCCAGACUCCUACGGGAGGCGGCAGUGGGGAAUAUUGGACAAUGGGGGGAACCCUGAUCCAGCCAUGCCGCGUGUGUGAAGAAGGCCUUAUGGUUGUAAAGCACUUUAAGCGAGGAGGAGGCUACUCUAGUUAAUACCUAGGGAUAGUGGACGUUACUCGCAGAAUAAGCACCGGCUAACUCUGUGCCAGCAGCCGCGGUAA